rnacentral:rRNA from 1 species
UGCAAGUCGAGCGGGAUUCAUGAGGACGAAACUUCGGUCUAGAAAUCAUGAUGAGAGCGGCGGACGGGUGAGUAACGCGUAGGCAACCUGCCCUUAGCACAGGGAUAGCCUCGGGAAACCGGGAUUAAAACCUGAUAAUGCCAAACAGUCACAUGGCUGUUUGGCCAAAGAUUUAUCGGCUGAGGAUGGGCCUGCGUCUGAUUAGUUAGUUGGUGGGGUAACGGCCUACCAAGACGACGAUCAGUAGCCGACCUGAGAGGGUGAUCGGCCACAUUGGAACUGAGACACGGUCCAAACUCCUACGGGAGGCAGCAGUGGGGAAUAUUGCACAAUGGGCGAAAGCCUGAUGCAGCAACGCCGCGUGAGCGAUGAAGGCCUUUGGGUCGUAAAGCUCUGUCCUAGGGGACGAACACAAUGACGGUACCCUUGGAGGAAGCCCCGGCUAACUACGUGCCAGCAGCCGCGGUAAUACGUAGGGGGCGAGCGUUAUCCGGAAUUAUUGGGCGUAGAGAGUACGUAGGUGGUCUUUUAAGCGCAGGGUUUAAGGCAAUGGCUUAACCAUUGUUCGCCCUGUGAACUGGGAGACUUGAGUGCAGGAGAGGAAAGCGGAAUUCCUAGUGUAGCGGUGAAAUGCGUAGAUAUUAGGAGGAACACCAGUGGCGAAGGCGGCCUUCUGGACUGUAACUGACACUGAGGUACG